GCAGGCAGGGGGAUGCGAGAGAAGUAAUGCUCACAUCAUCAUCUCUUUAAGAGAGAAAAUGCAGCUUAACAGCGGUGGGAGCUAAUUUGCUCUCCUGUAAUCAAUCACCCAGCACAGAAAACAAAAUACAGCGCAGCAAGCCUGGAAUGGCUGAGAGGAGAUGUAAGGCUGGCAGGCGGGGGGUGGGGGUGGGGUCUCUGUACAGAGGAUAUAUUUUUCUCUUUAUGGAUUUAAAGUAAAAUGAAUCCCAAAGACAUAUGGCAUAUGUAUGGCUGUGUGGUUGCAUGUCAGUGGUCAUGUCUAAAGAGGUGCCAGUCUUCUCCUGGCUUCCAGUCUGCAGCCCAGGCUAAUGUCCUGCAUCUCUUAUUGAUGGAUGGAUGGGCAGUGGGACACGGUAACUUCAGUGCAGGCUUCUCUGUACUCCUCCACCUGAAACAUAUACCCCAGAGCGUGGAGCUUGCAUCUGUCUCUGCCUUUAAGUUCAUUACUGGGCAGCCGCUGUUCCCUCCUGAGCCUUAGUUACCUUCCGUGUAGAAUGGGGGCAUUCACUCUCCCUUUUCUACCCACACGUGUAUUGGUACAGAGAUAGGUAAAUCUCUGGAGUCAGGGAAAGUGGACUUUUCUAAAAACUGGUGUAAGAUAAACUCCCAUGGAGCCUGGUGCUCUGGCUAUUUCCAUUUGGGUCUUGGGCUUGGGGUGAGGACUACAGCCCAGGCUAGUCUUUCUCAAGUGGCAAGUCUGGGAAAAGCACCUUCUUAGGGAUGCCACGUGGCACAGCGUGCGCUCUCCACCUGCCCCCGUCUCACUGUGCAGACAUGCCCCCAACUACCCCCCUUCCUCACUUACUCUCUUUCCUCCCCCUUUUUUCUUUUUCUUUUUCUUCCUUCUCCCUCGUACUCUUUCCUUUACCCCUGUAUCUAGCGUGAUCAUGUUUUUCAAAUUGAAAAUUGGGACAUGGCCUGACAAUGGGUCUGAGUAUUUGAAAUCUUGACAUUUAUGGACAUUUAAAUAUGUAUAAUCACGCUAAACACCCUUCUUUCUGCUUCUUGCUUUCCCCUACUGCUGCUCUGGGCUAUAACUCCAUGGUCACGAGACAAUUGGUUGGGGUCAGUGUGACGCCAAAUAUCCAGAUUUUUAGAAAUGUCCAGAUGGUAGAUUUACUUUUUUGCAGUUUUGUUUAUUCUGGACCCUUGGUGCUCUGUGGACACAAUUCAGUAAAAACAAAUAGAUGAGUAAAUAAAGAUAACCUCUGUAACCUAAGCAAUGAGUUGCUUAGCAUCUUGUCUUCAAAACAACUGGUAGACUGAUUGGGCUUUUUUUCUUCCUGCUGGUGUUGUUUGGGUGGCGUGUUCUGCAGACUUCAUGAAAGUUGUCGCUGACCAUGUUCCCUGGAGACCCUCCUAGGAAAGAGACUCUGAAAUGAAAGAACAGCCUGAGAAAGAACCAUGGCUUGGUUUUCUGGAGCCACAGGAUCUGUGUAAUAGAUCUGCUCCCAUAGGAGCAAAGUUACACCUGGAAGGCCAUAGAUGAUCUGAAAUAUUUAUGCAAGAAGACUACCUCACAAGCAGACCCAUCAAAAGCAAUGUGCUCUUUGACAAGACUUGAGGGGCGCAGGGAUGAUGUCCGUACCAGAAAAUUGCCAACACACCCAUUGCCCACGCUCUAUAUUUGAUUAGACCACGUCCAGGCGGGCCCGUGUGGAGGUUGUGGCUUUUCCUGAGCUGAAGAAUGGAUUUGACGGGGAGGAACAGAAGCCCUGAGGUAGGUUUACUGUGCCUUCAUUCACUGAUAAGACCACCUCCCCCCACCCGCAGCUGGUGGUUUUAAUUGUCCUUUUUGUCUGGUGCCCGGGAGAGCGCACUACAGUCAGGUGAAAGAUACACAGAAGCAGGCUGUCCAGGUGACUGUGGCCCCAUGAAAUCACUUGGAUGCAGACUCCUGUUACAUGUCUGCUGUAAUAUCCUCAGCUCAUUACUUACGUCCUCUAUGUGGUUCCAGAUGGCGGAUGUGCCGGCCAUCACACUCUCGGUCUAGACAGAAAGCUGGGUGAAGAGCAUAAAGUAUGUUCCCCCAUGGUGAGUAUCUCCCUUAAGGAGAUUUCCAGGCUUCUAUUUGCAGCUCAUU